rnacentral:pre_miRNA from 1 species
UUAACUCAAAUUUGUAUGGAGUUGGAACGUUUGCCGCUUGGGGCGCUGUUCCAACUGCAUACAAAUUCGAGUUA